ACUUCCUGCACCUCCCUAAAAUUUAAAUUUUUUUUGUAAUGUCAAAAGUACCCUUUUUACCUUAUUUAUUUACUUUUUCUUUCUCUUUCUAAAACCUAAUUCCUUACCCAUUUUCACUUUUUCUCCACCCCCCAAAUUCCACAUCCGUCUUCUUCCCACCUUCCCACACCCUCAGAUCCGUUUGCUUCCAACCCACAUCCGUUUCUUCGAAUCCCCUAAGUCCCACUUUCUCUCGUUCUCUUGUUGGUGGUGCGGUGGUUGUUCGUGGUGCGGCGUUGCGACAUUGUGUGCGGUGGUCCAUCAGCGUUGCGGAGGUGCGACAGUGUGCGGUGGUCAUUUGGUGCUUCCUUCUUGUGUAGGUCUACGAGAGCCGCUUUCCAUCCUGAUGGUCUAAUCCUUGGAACUAGCACCACCGAAUCUCUUGUUAAGAUUUGGGAUGUAAAAAGUCAGGCAAAUGUUGCUAGGUUCGAUGGACAUGCUCGUCAAGUAACUGCCAUUUCUUUUUUUGAGAAUGGAUACUUCUUGCGAGUGCUGCUCAUGAUGGUGUUAAGCUUUGGGAUCUACGAAAAUUGAAGAACUUUAGGAAUUUUGCUCUAUAUGAUUCGGACACACCAACAAUGGUAUUCAUCUUCAGUUGUCGAUGGUCUUAUGUAACCUUUUAUGUACUAGUAAAGUUAUACCCGUUUUAAAAUGUCUUGAUGUAAUUAUGUAUUUUGUAGUGGAGUUCGACCAUACUGGAUCUCUGUUG
rnacentral:sRNA from 1 species